AGUGUCCCCAACACCCACAGGCGUCACCGUCACCUCUGAGUGUCCCCAACACCCCCAGGUGUCACUGUCACCGCUGGGUGUCCCCAGCACCCAUAGGUGUCACUGUCACCUGCUGGGUGUCCCCAGCACCCAUAGGUGUCACUGUCACCUCCUGGGUGUCCCCAGCACCCAUAGGUGUCACUGUCAUCAUUGGGUCUCCCCAGCACCCAUUGGUGUCACUGUCACCUCCGAGUGUCCCCAACACCCAUUGGUGUCAGUGUUACCUCUCAGUGUCCCCCAACAACCCCAGGUGUCACCGUCACCGCUGGGUGCCGCCAACACCCUCAGGUGUCACUGU
rnacentral:lncRNA from 1 species